rnacentral:rRNA from 1 species
UAAUACAGGGGGUGCAAGCGUUGUUCGGAAUCACUGGGCGUAAAGGGAGCGUAGGCGGAACUACAAGACAGGGGUUAAAGAUCCGGGCUCAACCUGGAGGAUGCCUUUGUGACUGUGGUUCUUGAGUAUGGUAGAGGUUGGCGGAAUUUCCGGUGUAGCGGUGGAAUGCGUAGAGAUCGGAAAGAACACCAGAGGCGAAGGCGGCCAACUGGACCAAUACUGACGCUGAGGCUCGAAAGCGUGGGGAGCAAACAGG